UACGUAGGUGGCAAGCGUUGUCCGGAAUUAUUGGGCGUAAAGCGCGCGCAGGCGGUCCUUUAAGUCUGAUGUGAAAGCCCACGGCUCAACCGUGGAGGGUCAUUGGAAACUGGGGGACUUGAGUACAGAAGAGAAGAGUGGAAUUCCACGUGUAGCGGUGAAAUGCGUAGAUAUCAGGAGGAACACCGGUGGCGAAGGCGUCCAUCUGGCCCGAUACUGACGCUGAGGCGCGAAAGCUAGGGGAGCGAACGGG
rnacentral:rRNA from 1 species